GUCCACAUAGCUUACACUAAAGCAUGGCACUGAAGCUGCCAAGACGGCGCCGCGAACAUGCCUGCGGACA
rnacentral:tRNA from 1 species